CCUGGUUUUCUCAUUCAGGGAGAUCAGAGUGUGUGUCUGCUAGCAGCCAGAAUGUCUGGGCCUCUGAAUAAUUCAAGUGCCUCUUUUCAACGACAGUCACCCAGAGGACAAGCUGAUUGCACUUUGGAUGACCCCUGUAUGUCUGGGUUCCUGGACAUGAUGAAUGUCCUCAUUCUGGUCUUCUCUGGGGAAAUACAUACAUACAUACAUACCGUGUUUGGCAGAGGCCUCUGUGUAAAGUCUCAGUUUAGAGUUAGUUUUAAAGAAAAGCAGAAAUGCUUCUCCCUAAGCCUGAGAGACCCCCACUGCACAGGCAACAGGAGCCAUCUCUCCUUCCUCCUUCUCCCCUCUGCUGUCACUACUUUGCCCUGACACCCUGCCUAGCCCCAUGGACAUGCAUUAGUCUCUCUCUUCCUAUCAACUAUGCAAGGCCCUUCAAGCCCCACUUUUGCUUUCAGAGGGCUUCAUGUCCCCAGAGGCUGAGGAGCUUGCUUGUUUAUCUCUUUUUCUAGCUGUACCUGGUCUGAAAAGGGAGACCGCAUGCACCUUACUGCACCCCCUUCCCACCCCAUCCCUCCUCUGCAUAAGGAAAUGGCCCAGGAACCUCUGCCUGCAUCAUCUGUGUCCCGCUCUGAGACAGUGCGUGCCUCGCUCAUAGACCUUCCCCACUCCCGGGGCUGCUGGAGCCCAGCUCUUGGGCCUUCUUGGGACCACCUUCUUCCCUGAAGCCUGGUGCAAAGGAGAGACAAGGUCUCACUCAGAAUCCGAUUCUGUCCUCCAGCCUGGAGUAUGUGGUGCAAUCCCAGAUCUCUGCAGGCUUGAGCUCCUGGGCUCAAGCGAUCCUCCUGCCUCAGCCUCUCAAGUAGAUGGAACUACAGCUAUGGCACAGCAGCCCUGGAAUGACAACCGGAGACUUUGUGCUUGCAAAAGCUUAUCCUUCUUUGCUGGGAGUUCUGGGAUAACGUAGGUCGGAUCAGAAAACGCCAUAUGCUAGUUCACAGGGAAUUUCCAAAGAGCAGCUAGCUCCAGUUGGUUGCUAAGAGACAGCUCCACAGCUGGACUUUGGCUGCAAAAUUUGAACAAAAAAAGAAGAGCACAAAUGAGCUUGCCAGGUAACAGAAUCUGCGAUGACUUCCCGUCCUGUUUGCUGGCAUCUGUGCUUCCAGAAGCAAUAAAGCAUCACUUUCCUGCUUGUGAUUUACAUGAGGAGAAACAGGCAGACACUCUUCUCCAAGGGGUUUCCUGACCAGCCUUGAAUCUGCUAGCCAGAGCCUAGCAGGACUCUGAGACAAUGAGAUUCCUGAUGCUGGUAAUGAAUGAAGGACAAUGAGAUUCCUGAUGCUGGUAAUGCAUGAAGAAAGAUCAGAGUUAUAAGUGGACUAUGCUUCCAUCCUCCCAAGAGUUCUCCUGGGGUUAGUUUAAAGACAGGGGAUUAACUCUAUUAAAAGUAGAUUUGGCAAAAAGCUGAAAUCAAACACAUGCUUAUGAAUAGGGAACGGGUGAAAUAAGUCAUGGUACAUCCACAGAAUGGAGUAUUACUUAGCUAUAAAUAGACAUGAAGAAUCAUCCACAGAAUGGAGUACUACUUAGCUAUAAAUAGACAUGAAGAAUACUUUUAUGUUUAAAAAGUAUUCAUGUUGCUUUUUCUCCAGGAUGAAAUUUUAAGUUAAAAAAAUUGAAAUUGGCCGGGCGUGGUGGCUCACGUCUGUAAUCCCAGCACUUUGGGAGGCUGAGGCGGGUGGAUCACGAGGUCAGGAGAUUGAGACCAUCCUUGCUAACACGGUGAAACCCCAUCUCUAUUAAAAACAAAACAAUACAAAACAAAAAAAUUAGCCGGGCAUGGUGGCGGGCGCCUGUAGUCCCAGCUACUCGGGAGGCUGAGGCAGGAGAAUGGCAUGAACCUGGCGGAGCGGAGAUUGCAGUGAGCCGAGAUCGCGCCACUGCACUCCAGCCUGGGCAACAGAGCAAGACUCCAUCUCCAAAAAAAAAAAGUUGAAAUUAUGUGUACAAUAGGUUACUAUGUCUUUGAGAAAAAUUUGGGUGAUAAAAACAAAUAAAUUUUCUCAUUUUUAAAAGGUCACAAAUCAUAUUUUAAAAAUUGUUUACCUAUGAGUCAAGGAAGAGGAUAUUUUGCAAAGCACCUAGAAAAGCUCGUUUGAACUGAAAAGAGAGUACAGCACAGGCUCAGGACUGCUCACUGGGUGCAGACACACAGAACAGAACCCAGUGGCACUGCCAAGGCUUUGACAUUGGGAAUGACAUUGAAGCCACAACCACGGAAGGUUUCAGAACGUGCGGCCUGAACUCAACCUUGCUGCUUGCCUGCCGAAGCAAGAACACCAGGAUUCUCCACGGGAUUUAAAUGAGACCUACAGUGUCAUAGCAUAAUAUUCAAAUACCCAGGAUAUGAUCCAUCUUAUCUGAUCUAGAAAGAAACAGGAAAAGUCUCAACCUAUAUCAGAAAAAAAAACAAUAAACAUGACAACACUGAGGAGACACAGAUUUCGAAUUAUCUGAUAAAGAUUUAAAGCAGUUAAUUAAAUGUUUCAACAAGCAGUAAUGAAUACUCUUGAAAUAAAUGGGAAAUAGGAAGUAAUUAUAAUGUUAUAACUUCUAGUUUAUUAUAACACCUAACAAAUUUACAUCUAACAAAAAUAGCAUCUAACAAAUUUCUGUGCUAUUAAAUUACCUUAUACUCAGUUCAUAUUCAAAUUUUCUAUUUUGUCUCAUUUUCUUACAGUGAAUUUAUUUAUAUCAGA